GGCAGUUCACGUUCUGUGGCUCAGUCCUUUUUCAAGGAGGUAAUUCUCCUGCCAGACGACAAAGCUACAUGUACCAAGACGUACCAAAAAAGCUUGGCUUUUUGAAAACGGCCACAUCAAGUCUGCCUUGGAAUAUGGCUGUGACUGGGAUUCUGACAAAGUAAUGCAGGCAAUAAUGGCAGCCUUCCAGCCAGCUGUGGAGGGAUGCAGGUUACAAAUCCUGAUGCCAUGCUACAACAAACUAGUUGAGCCAUCCCUUACCCCCACACAGAGUUUGAAUGGAGACCUUGUGAAAAAGCUGUUUCAUCAGAAGUCCAUUUAUGUCAGACCUGACAGGAUCAUUUUAAGUGACGAAAAAGAAUAUUCAUUUUCUGAUGGAGAAAGCAACUGUUUAAAUGGCCCUGGUUUGGCAGAAAUAUCUGACACUGACAAAUGUGUUACAGCCAUUGGUAGUGCACCUGACGUUUCCAAAGAAGUUGUCCCAGACAUAUCCAUCUCCAGUCAUACCCCUUCAAUGUCCAGUGGUGACGAAGUUAUAUGGUGUUUUGCUACCGAAGAUAUUUGCACUGAUGCACCUCCUAUCCGAGCUGACACCCUCACCAUGUCCACUAUAGUGCUGGUGUCAUCACUAUUGAUGAGACUGUCACCAUGUCCAGUGGAACUCCUGCCAUCUCCACUGGCAACACUCAUGGCUUGUCGGUUGGCCCCACUGUCAAUGCAGGCGGUAAAAGGCGUUGCAUCUUUGGGAAUAACUCCUCCGGUGUGUCCCAUGGUCCCACUCAACCCAGUGCAUCUGGCAAUAGUUCAUCCAGCACAUCCUACAGUACAUACCUUGACCUAUUUGAGGAAGAAUACCUCUCUGAUGACCCUGAUCUCUAGGAAGCCAUUUCCAGGUCUUUAGAUUCCAGCACAAGUGAGAGUGAUUUAAAGAUGACUUUAGAGAGAAUAAUGGAGCAGAUUUCAUCUAGAGUAAAUGAUGACAGCGCUGUGCGCUUCAAUAUCAUAAGAAGAAGUGUGUGGGAUGGAGCAUCCAGAGCCCUGGGCAAAUCCAAUUUUUCACCCGAGAAGAAAGUGGAUAUCAAGUUUACUGAUGACUAUGGAAUAUCUGAGGGAGCUGUGGACAAUGGAGAACCUACUCGGGAGUUUUUCCGACUCUGUCUUCAUGAAAUCAAGGACAAAACUGGCAUCUUUGAGGGUCCACCUGAUGCCAAAGUCCUCACAUGCAACUCCAAAGCAAUGAAAGACAAUGGAUACUUCAAUGCUGGCCAGAUUAUGGCAAUGUCAAUUGCCCAUGGGGGACAGAGUCCAUGUUUCCUGUCUGAACUCUUGUAUGAGGUCCAGACAAUGUAAAGGUCAAAACUGAACAUAUUACUGAUGAAGAAACAAGGUCACAGGUGCAGUCGAUCUUACAAGCUGAGACUGAAUCACAACUGCAAGAUGCAGUCGCACAGGCAGCCAGCUUGACCAGUCUUGCAGGUUCAGAGAUGGCUUAAUGUCUCUAGGUGUCCUGGAAGCUCUACAGAGAUACCCUCUACAGAUGAAGUGCCUUUUUGUGAAGGCUGAAAAGAGUUUAACAGCAGCUGAUGUAGAGAAUCUCUUCCGGAUCAUUCACUCUGAAAGAGGGAGUAAUGCAUUCCAAGAAGAGUGCUGGCAAGACUAACUUCAGAAUGCUGAAUGUGAAAACAAUGUCUCUCUGGCGGAUAUUCUUGUUUUCCUUACUGGAUGUGACAGUGUUCCAGCACUGGGCUUCUCUCCAAAGCCAAGCCUUGAGUUCAUUACCCAUUCCUGAUUUCCACAGGCGAAUACUUGAAAAUAUUCUUCGCAUUCCAGUUCAUGCAGUAUACACUGCUUUCAAAUCUGAUAUGGAUUUUGCCAUACUCAAUUCACCAGAGUUUGGAAGAGUGUGAGAGGUAAUAUUAUGGAGGGCUUUUAGAGCUUGAAUUAUGAUGAGGAUUUUUGUUUGUUUGUUUGUUUACCAUAAAUAAUUGCUGUAACUUCUUUUUGGUUUUCCUAGAGACAGUAUUCACUUGAAUUAAGGCAUGAAGAAAUAUAAGUAGAAAAUGUUCUUUGUUAGUUUCGAAGGUAUAUUUCAAGCCAUGAGACAUUUGUACGUGUUUCAAGAUGCCUGUAUUUUAUGUGUAAGGCCUUCUGAAUAAUGGUUCUGUGUUCCUACU